rnacentral:lncRNA from 1 species
UUAAUAUAACAUAAAUAAUUAAUCUUAAUUUAUCUCAAAUAAAACAUUUAUAUUAUUUUAUUAUUAUAUUAUAUACUGCUAAAUAAAUCUAUAAUUAUUUUUAUAAAAUAAUAAUAAUGCUAUACUAUACUAUACUAUACUAUACUAUACUAUACUAUACUAUAAUAAUUCCCAGUGCUUCCAUUAAAAAUUAUUAAAAAACAUUAUUUGUGCUUUACUCCAAUGCAAAAUCAUCCUUAAAUACCACCUCUGCAUGUGUUUUCAGUUCCUCCGGUCUCAGCGAUUCCUCACAAACACUCUUGCUGUCUUUCCCAGCUACACACAUGCAUUACUUCCUGCAGCUCGAGUGUCAGUACUUUCAGCUUUCAUCGGCGUCCCUGUAGGGAACCCUCACACCCGUCCGUCUGAAGCCAAACCCCAGACUCGUGCUCAGCACCGCACGACUCAACAUCUGCUUUCUGCAUGAGCGUGAGGGAAAGACUCCCACAAGCCCCUGCUCUUCUUUUAUUGUGCUUUAAAGAGCCCGAGUGGAGGAAACCCUGCUCGAGAGCAACCCGCCGCCUCAAACCAAACCCCCUGAAAUCAGCGAACAAAAGGAAAAGCACUAAAGCAGCGUUCGGUUUCCUCAGCAGAUCUUCAGGACUCAGGGGUGAACGCCGGUCAAAUGGGGCGGAAGCAAGAGGUUUUGUUUGCUUGGUGUUUUUUGUUAAUCUGCAACCCCUCCAGACCGGCCAAAACAGACCAUCUCUUUCAAACACUUAUUCAGCACAGGUCGUCAGACCGACCGGCCGCUGCGCCGAGGUCAAAGGUCAAGAGACUCUGCUGAGCGGCAGGAUGCUCCGUCUGAGGUCAGGCUGCGUGUCAGAGGGAAGACAGGAUGUGAGACAAGCGAGUGAGGAAAACGACAACACACACACACUCACACUCAAACAUCUCCACAUAAGACACAAGCGAAUAAAAGCAGACAGAUUUAGAAGAAAAUGUGUUUAGUGUGACAGACGGAACAUGAAACAUUUAUGCAGACAUUUACAUUCAUGAAUUUAGCAAACACUUUUAGCCAGAGCAACUUAAAAAGAGGAACAAAAGCAAUUUGUCAAAGUGCUGACAAGUUUUUGCUAAAAAUUUAAAAAGCAAUAAUUCAACACCAAGUUAUUCAUUUCCCCUCAUGAUUUUUCAAAAAAGUUAUAAAAUAAAUAAAUAAAGUGCAUUACUUUUUAUUUUAUUUUAUUUUUACCUUGGCGUGAUGGGAGCCUAUUUCCACCAAAGAGUAAAAAGUAAAACAAUUAAUUGUAUAUACACACACACACAUAGUGAGCAGAGCUCCUUAGCAUUUUAAGAAACAUGCACUAAAACGGGUCGCUGUGAACAGAGCUGUUUUUGAAAGGGCAAAAAGUGUGUUGUUUUACACUAACAUUGAGAAAUUUUAACCAAAAUAUGUUAUAGACUUUUCAUUAAGACCCUAAAGAAUCAUAUCAACUUGUGGAAAAUGGGCAUCCGAUGACCCCUUUAACAAAACCUAUGAAAGUAUAUCAAAGAUACUAAAAUAACGCAUGAUAAAUUAGUGUGAGGAAGAGAUUGAGAUUUAAGUCACUGUCCACUGAAAGUCUUGCCUUUUGCUGCAACUCCCUUUUCGUCAUUAGAUGAGGAACGGCAGUAUACUUCGGUCAUGUAGAAGAUCAAACACUGCUUAACAUAAGUCAUGAAGAUACUUUUUUUUAUUAAACUAAUGCAAAAUCCAAUUUCAUGUGCAAUAAGAGUUAUUUAUGGCCAGUGUUUUUUCUGGAUCCCUUCACUCACACCAAACAUGAGCAGAUCAGCAGGCUCUGAAAAGAGCUAAUAUUUCUCUCUAUUACACUGCUGACUCAUUAUACAGAACAAUGCAAAUGGCUCCAUUUCAACUCCCAAAAUCCAUCUUUUGAUUCGUCUGGUUCAUGCGUCCACCUUAUAAGGACAAAGAACACGAACGAGCUGGUCAGUAAAAGCAUGAAGUCACUGUACAGAGCAUAAAAUAUGGAGAAAUGUUCAUGAAAACUGUAUAAGGGCCAGCUGACAUGAGUAAUGCCUGAAUGUCAUUCUGUGCAAGUAAUUUAAUGCUUUUAAAAUGAAAUCUAUUAUCAAAAGAACAAUUCUGCACAUCUGUAAUUUUGGCAGCACAUUUAGUACUAAAUAAAAGAAGAAAAUGCAACUAAAAGACACACACACACACCACAUCAAUUAACCCAGUUUUGAACAAAUACAGCUGUUCUUUUUAAAUCAAAUAUGAAAGUUGAUAAUGCACAACAUUAAGUCUAGGCCUAGAAUAAAAUAUUGCACAACAUAUAUAUAUAUAUAUAUAUACGCA